GGUACCUAAAAUUCAUAUUUAUUUAUUCAAUAUUUUUCAUUUUUUUUUUCACCAUCCACUACUCCUGCACCCUUGUGUAUCUAAAUUGUCUCCUCCGGAUUGGAAAGUUGCAUGAUGAAGAAGCUAAAAACAAGGAUUCCCCAAUCCCCACAAAAGAGGACGCGGCAAAACUCAUUAAAAGCAUUUGGACAGUUCUGGAAAUAAAGAAAAUAGAAACAGAAACAGAAUCAGAAAUUCAGAUGCCUGGUUUGAAACACAGAGAAGAAUCAUGGCUCCCAGAACCGCGACAUCCACCGGCAGCAUCUCCUUCUGUUGAUGAGAAUGGGUGUUUAAAGUGGAAUAAAUUUCGAUUUUUUUCAUCUCUUACCAGUGGCAUUGUGUUAAAAUAGCGGGAGAAAUUCAGUUGUAAGCCGUCGAAGGAAGAAGGAAGUUGCAGAGGAAGAGAGGGAGAAAUUUAGUUUUUGGUUUUUAGUUUGUUAUUGUAAGCUAUGGAGACUAAAAUGUUAUGGAACAUGAUACGAGAGCAGAAAUAGGGAAUUUUGUGUUUGAUCGGAGGGCAUUUCAGUCUUUUGGGAAAGUUCUAACAUCUAACCUAAAUGCGGAGAGAGAAGGCAAUAAGGAAAGUAGACAUAGCCCAAAGAAAUACCCGUUGGGAGAUCGACUCCUGAAAGUUUGUCCAACAGAAAAUGUUGAAAAUCACGAGAAAGGAGAGAGAGCUGCAAUUUGAGAAUGAGAAGCUAG
rnacentral:misc_RNA from 1 species